GACACAAUAGAGAUGAGUUUGGGUUCAAUCUCCCUAGCUAUGUGUUGGCAAGUUUGGAAAACACGCAACUCCGAAAUAUUUCCCCGCAGAAUAUUGACAAAGAAAGAGAUCAUGAUGACUUGAUGAGUCUCCAAAAUAUUUACUGGAUUCAAAUAAUCAACUUGAUAAAGAAGAUUUCAACAACAAGAAUUCUAAAGCAGUCAGGG
rnacentral:lncRNA from 1 species